GUUUCUCUGGCAGAAUAAUGCAAUAAAUUUAGAAUUUAUACAUACUUAUCGGUGGGAAAUA
rnacentral:tRNA from 1 species